GAUGAACGCUAGCUACAGGCUUAACACAUGCAAGUCGAGGGGCAGCGGGAUUGAAGCUUGCUUCAAUUGCCGGCGACCGGCGCACGGGUGAGUAACGCGUAUCCAACCUUCCGCUUACUCGGGGAUAGCCUUUCGAAAGAAAGAUUAAUACCCGAUGGUAUCUUAAGCACGCAUGAGAUUAAGAUUAAAGAUUUAUCGGUAAGCGAUGGGGAUGCGUUCCAUUAGGCAGUUGGCGGGGUAACGGCCCACCAAACCUACGAUGGAUAGGGGUUCUGAGAGGAAGGUCCCCCACAUUGGAACUGAGACACGGUCCAAACUCCUACGGGAGGCAGCAGUGAGGAAUAUUGGUCAAUGGGCGAGAGCCUGAACCAGCCAAGUAGCGUGAAGGAUGACGGCCCUACGGGUUGUAAACUUCUUUUGUGCGGGAAUAAAGGAACCUACGUGUAGGUUUUUGCAUGUACCGUAACGAAUAAGCAUCGGCUAACUCCGUGCCAGCAGCCGCGGUAAUACGGAGGAUGCGAGCGUUAUCCGGAUUUAUUGGGUUUAAAGGGAGCGUAGACGGGUUUUUAAGUCAGCUGUGAAAGUUUGGGGCUCAACCUUAAAAUUGCAGUUGAAACUGGAGACCUUGAGUACGGUUGAGGCAGGCGGAAUUCGUGGUGUAGCGGUGAAAUGCUUAGAUAUCACGAAGAACCCCGAUUGCGAAGGCAGCCUGCUAAGCCGCCACUGACGUUGAGGCUCGAAAGUGCGGGUAUCAAACAGG
rnacentral:rRNA from 1 species